rnacentral:rRNA from 1 species
GACGAACGCUGGCGGCGUGCUUAACACAUGCAAGUCGAGCGGUAAGGCCCUUUCGGGGGUACACGAGCGGCGAACGGGUGAGUAACACGUGGGUGACCUGCCCUUAGCUCUGGGAUAAGCCUGGGAAACUGGGUCUAAUACCGGAUAUGACUCCAUGACGCAUGUUGUGGGGUGGAAAGCCUUGUGCGGCUAGGGAUGGGCCCGCGGCCUAUCAGCUUGUUGGUGGGGUGAGGCCUACCAAGGCGACGACGGUAGCCGGCCUGAGAGGCGACCGGCCACACUGGGACUGAGACACGGCCCAGACUCCUACGGGAGGCAGCAGUGGGGAAUCUUGCGCAAUGGGCGAAAGCCUGGCGCAGCGACGCCGCGUGGGGAUGACGGCCU